GGCGUAGGUGGUUUGUUAAGCGAGAUGUGAAAGCCCCGGGCUUAACCUGGGAACGGCAUUUCGAACUGGCAGGCUAGAGUGUGGUAGAGGGUAGUGGAAUUUCCUGUGUAGCGGUGAAAUGCGUAGAUAUAGGAAGGAACACCAGUGGCGAAGGCGGCUACCUGGACCAACACUGACACUGAGGUGCGAAAGCGUGGGGAGCAAACA
rnacentral:rRNA from 1 species